CAGGAAAACGAGUAUGUUUUCCUGGCACUAUAGUGGUCCUUUAAAGUCUUAAAGGAAUCCUAUAGUGCCAGGAAAACAAAGUUGUUUUCCUGGUACUAU